rnacentral:rRNA from 1 species
CGGACGGGUGAGUAACGCGUGGGAACAUACCCUUUGGUUCGGAAUAGCCUCGGGAAACUGGGAGUAAUACCGGAUGUGCUCUCUUAUCGUAGUGAUGGGGGAGGAAAGAUUUAUCGCCAAAGGAUUGGCCCGCGUUGGAUUAGGUAGUUGGUGGGGUAAUGGCCUACCAAGCCGACGAUCCAUAGCUGGUUUGAGAGGAUGAUCAGCCACACUGGGACUGAGACACGGCCCAG